UACGGAGGGUGCAAGCGUUAUCCGGAUUCACUGGGUUUAAAGGGUGCGUAGGCGGGCUUGUAAGUCAGUGGUGAAAGCCCCGGGGCUUAACUCCGGAACUGCCGUUGAUACUGCAAGCCUUGAGUACAGUUGAGGUGGGCGGAAUACAUCAUGUAGAGGUGAAAUUCUUAGAUAUGAUGUAGAACACCGAUUGCGAAGGCAGCUCACUAAAGUGUAACUGACGCUGAGGCACGAAAGCGUGGGGAUCAAACAGG
rnacentral:rRNA from 1 species